GACGAACGCUGGCGGCGUGCCUAACACAUGCAAGUCGAGCGAGUGAAUCUCCUUCAGGAGUGAAGCUAGCGGCGGACGGGUGAGUAACACGUGGGCAACCUGCCUCAUAGAGGGGAAUAGCCUUCCGAAAGGAAGAUUAAUACCGCAUAAGAUUGUAGCUUCGCAUGAAGUAGCAAUUAAAGGAGCAAUCCGCUAUGAGAUGGGCCCGCGGCGCAUUAGCUAGUUGGUGAGGUAACGGCUCACCAAGGCGACGAUGCGUAGCCGACCUGAGAGGGUGAGCGGCCACAUUGGGACUGAGACACGGCCCAGACUCCUACGGGAGGCAGCAGUGGGGAAUAUUGCACAAUGGGGGAAACCCUGAUGCAGCAACGCCGCGUGAGUGAUGACGGCCUUCGGGUUGUAAAGCUCUGUCUUCAGGGACGAUAAUGACGGUACCUGAGGAGGAAGCCACGGCUAACUACGUGCCAGCCGCCGCGGUAAAAC
rnacentral:rRNA from 1 species